GACGAACGCUGGCGGCGUGCUUAACACAUGCAAGUCGAACGGAGUGGCGAACGGGUGAGUAACACGUGGGUGAUCUGCCUUGCACUUCGGGAUAAGCUUGGGAAACUGGGUCUAAUACCGGAUAGUGCAAGAUGAGCUCGCGGCCUAUCAGAGUGUUGGUGGGGUAAUGGCCGACCAAGGCGUCGACGGGUAGCCGGCCUGAGGGGGUGGACGGCCCCAUUGGGACUACGAGACGGACCAGACGCCUACUGUAGACAGCAGUGGGGAAUAUUGCACAAUGGGCGGGAGCCUGAGGCAGCGACGCCGCGUGGGGGAUGAAGGCCUUCGGGUUGUAAACUCCUUUCGACAGGGACGCGGUACCUGUAUAAGAAGCACCGGCUAACUACGUGCCAGCAGCCGCGGUAAUAC
rnacentral:rRNA from 1 species